rnacentral:rRNA from 1 species
GACGAACGCUGUCGGCGUGCUUAACACAUGCAAGUCGAACGGAAAGGCCCUGCUUUUGUGGGGUGCUCGAGUGGCGAACGGGUGAGUAACACGUGAGUAACCUGCCCUUGACUUUGGGAUAACUUCAGGAAACUGGGGCUAAUACCGGAUAGGAGCUCCUGCUGCAUGGUGGGGGUUGGAAAGUUUCGGCGGUUGGGGAUGGACUCGCGGCUUAUCAGCUUGUUGGUGGGGUAGUGGCUUACCAAGGCUUUGACGGGUAGCCGGCCUGAGAGGGUGACCGGCCACAUUGGGACUGAGAUACGGCCCAGACUCCUACGGGAGGCAGCAGUGGGGAAUAUUGCACAAUGGGCGGAAGCCUGAUGCAGCAACGCCGCGUGCGGGAUGACGGCCUUCGGGUUGUAAACCGCUUUCGCCUGUGACGAAGCGUGAGUGACGGUAAUGGGUAAAGAAGCACCGGCUAACUACGUGCCAGCAGCCGCGGUGAUACGUAGGGUGCGAGCGUUGUCCGGAUUUAUUGGGCGUAAAGGGCUCGUAGGUGGUUGAUCGCGUCGGAAGUGUAAUCUUGGGGCUUAACCCUGAGCGUGCUUUCGAUACGGGUUGACUUGAGGAAGGUAGGGGAGAAUGGAAUUCCUGGUGGAGCGGUGGAAUGCGCAGAUAUCAGGAGGAACACCAGUGGCGAAGGCGGUUCUCUGGGCCUUUCCUGACGCUGAGGAGCGAAAGCGUGGGGAGCGAACAGGCUUAGAUACCCUGGUAGUCCACGCUGUAAACGGUGGGUACUAGGUGUGGGGUCCAUUCCACGGGUUCCGUGCCGUAGCUAACGCUUUAAGUACCCCGCCUGGGGAGUACGGCCGCAAGGCUAAAACUCAAAGGAAUUGACGGGGCCCCGCACAAGCGGCGGAGCAUGCGGAUUAAUUCGAUGCAACGCGUAGAACCUUACCUGGGUUUGACAUGGAUCGGGAGCGCUCAGAGAUGGGUGUGCCUCUUUUGGGGUCGGUUCACAGGUGGUGCAUGGCUGUCGUCAGCUCGUGUCGUGAGAUGUUGGGUUAAGUCCCGCAACGAGCGCAACCCUUGUUCACUGUUGCCAGCACGUUAUGGUGGGGACUCAGUGGAGACCGCCGGGGUCAACUCGGAGGAAGGUGGGGAUGACGUCAAGUCAUCAUGCCCCUUAUGUCUAGGGCUUCACGCAUGCUACAAUGGCUGGUACAGAGAGUGGCGAGCCUGUGAGGGUGAGCGAAUCUCGGAAAGCCGGUCUCAGUUCGGAUUGGGGUCUGCAACUCGACCUCAUGAAGUCGGAGUCGCUAGUAAUCGCAGAUCAGCAACGCUGCGGUGAAUACGUUCCCGGG